CCUACGGGGGGCUGCAGUGGGGAAUAUUGGACAAUGGGGGGAACCCUGAUCCAGCCAUGCCGCGUGUGUGAAGAAGGCCCUCGGGUUGUAAAGCACUUUCAGUGAGGAAGAACGCCUGGUGGUUAAUACCCAUCAGGAAAGACAUCACUCACAGAAGAAGCACCGGCUAACUCCGUGCCAGCAGCCGCGGUAAUACGGAGGGUGCGAGCGUUAAUCGGAAUUACUGGGCGUAAAGCGCGCGUAGGUGGCUUGAUAAGCCGGUUGUGAAAGCCCCGGGCUCAACCUGGGAACGGCAUCCGGAACUGUCAAGCUAGAGCACAGGAGAGGAAGGCGAAAUUCACGGUGUAGCGCUGACAUGCGUAGAGAUCGGGAGGCAUACCAGUGGCGAAGGCGGCCUACUGGACUGACCCUACCACUGAGGUGCGAAAGCGUGGGUCGCAAACAGGAUUAGAUACCCCAGUAGUA
rnacentral:rRNA from 1 species